AGAGGAGGAGGAGCAGGAGGAUGCAGAUGCGACCGCGGCCCCAAGAGGGAGCCGCCGCUGCUCUGUGGCCAGGGGGGCCCAGGGACGGGAAUCAGGCCUGGGGGUCGCGUUGCUGAGGGGACUGGGAACGGCGGUCACUCCAGAGGCUCAGGCCUAGUACCCCAGGAGGGUCCGGGCCGCUGGGCGAGCGCCUGCCCCCCAUCGUCUCCCUUUGUCCCUCCACGUCGAUGGUGGUGAAGUUGGCGGCGCCACGGAGCGCAAGGCACCAAGCUGUCUCCCUUGCACCCAGCUUCUCUCUAGCCCCGGCUCUUGGACACCUGCGCCGCCGCCUUCUCUCGCCCGCCGAGCCCACCCCCGGCGGCGGGCGGGGGAGGGGCUCCCCCCUGCAGGGGCUGCGUCGAGCAGGGCGACGACGGGGACCAUAGGAGAGUAGGGCAUCCCCCAGACAUCUAGAGUAUGCCAGCCCUGUCCGCCUUCUGAGAGCGAUGAGACAGAAACCCAUUUCUCGAGCAGCCCCCCCAAAAAGACAGAAUGUGGGACACAUGCCACAACUUUUUCCCUUCCUAGAGAGAAGCUGAGAGUUGGGAGUUUUACCCUCUCGUUCUAUGCUGAGCUGGGAGGAGGGAGUAUGGAAGAAGCCAAGAAUUGGGAGUUUUCUGCUGAUCAUGCUAUACUAAGCUGGGCAGAGAGACCAUGGCGAGGUCACACAGCACAAGUUGAAGCCGAGAUUCAAACUCAGUCUGGUUCCAGAGCCUGUGAAGUGCCUAUGGAAGACAUUCACGUGGAGAUGGAUACUCAAAUGAAUAAAACGCCACAGCACUCCAACCUUCAGGAACCACCACCCUGAUCAGUCAGCAGCCAUCAACAUCGAGGAAAGACCCUCCACUAGCAAAAACAUUCCAACUCAAUGAAGGCUCAGAUAGCAUUUUUAACAAUGAAGUAUUUUUAAAUUAAGGUAUGUACAUUUCUAGACAUAAUGCUGUUGCACACUUAAGAGACUGAAGUGUAGUAUAAACAUAACUUUUAUAUGCACUGGGAAACUGAAAAAUUUUUGUUC